AUCGAACGCUGGCGGCAUGCCUAACACAUGCAAGUCGAGCGAGCGGCGGACGGGUGAGUAUUGUCCGGGAAACUGCCUGAUGUAGGGGGAUAACUCCUGGAAACGGUAGCUAAUACCGCAUACCAUCAGAUUUGCCCAGAUGGGAUUAGCUAGUGGGUGGGGUAACGGCCCACCUAGGCGACGAUGCCUAGCUGGUCUGAGAGGAUGACCGGCCACACUGGAACUGAGACACGGUCCAGACUCCUACGGGAGGCAGCAGUGGGGAAUAUUGGACAAUGGGCGAAAGCCUGAUCCAGCCAUGCCGCGUGUGUGAAGAAGGCCUUCGGGUUGUAAAGCACUUUCGUCGGGGAGGCGUUACCUGCAGAAGAAGCACCGGCUAACUCCGUGCCAGCAGCCGCGGUAAUUC
rnacentral:rRNA from 1 species